rnacentral:rRNA from 1 species
UACAGAGGUGGCAAGCGUUUGUUCGGAAUUACUGGGCGUAAAGCGUGCGCAGGCGGUUUGUUAAGACAGAUGUGAAAUCCCCGGGCUUAACCUGGGAACUGCGUUUGUAACUGGCAAGCUAGAGUGUGGCAGAGGGGGGGUGGAAUUCCACGUGUAGCAGUGAAAUGCGUAGAGAUGUGGAGGAACACCGAUGGCGAAGGCAGCCCCCUGGGCUAACACUGGACGCUCAUGCACGAAAGCGUGGGGAGCAAACGAGGAUUAGAGUACCGAGUG